UUGAUUUCAAAGAGUGGCGAACGGGUGAGUAACACGUGGGUAACCUACCUCUUAGCAGGGGAUAACAUUUGGAAACAAGUGCUAAUACCGUAUAAUACCAACAACCGCAUGGUUGUUGGUUGAAAGAUGGUUCUGCUAUCACUAAGAGAUGGACCCGCGGUGCAUUAGCUAGUUGGUAAGGUAAUGGCUUACCAAGGCAAUGAUGCAUAGCCGAGUUGAGAGACUGAUCGGCCACAAUGGGACUGAGACACGGCCCAUACUCCUACGGGAGGCAGCAGUAGGGAAUCUUCCACAAUGGGCGCAAGCCUGAUGGAGCAACGCCGCGUGUGUGAUGAAGGGUUUCGGCUCGUAAAACACUGUUAUAAGAGAAGAACGGCACUGAGAGUAACUGUUCAGUGUGUGACGGUAUCUUACCAGAAAGGAACGGCUAAAUACGUGCCAGCAGCCGCGGUAAUACGUAUGUUCCAAGCGUUAUCCGGAUUUAUUGGGCGUAAAGCGAGCGCAGACGGUUAUUUAAGUCUGAAGUGAAAGCCCUCAGCUCAACUGAGGAAUUGCUUUGGAAACUGGAUGACUUGAGUGCAGUAGAGGAAAGUGGAACUCCAUGUGUAGCGGUGAAAUGCGUAGAUAUAUGGAAGAACACCAGUGGCGAAGGCGGCUUUCUGGACUGUAACUGACGUUGAGGCUCGAAAG
rnacentral:rRNA from 1 species